GUGUGUGUUUCUACAGUCGGAGAGCGAGGAGAAGUCAAUAACAUAUGACAACAUGGGACCUAACGUGUGUAUGGGGGACCACAAGCCUGUCUACCUGUACUUCCGGUUAACCUUCGGGGCCGGAAAACAUGCCAAUAAACACAAGUGUUGUGUUGUGCAGUGAUGUGUCAGGCGAAUGGUGCCAAAGGUUGGAGAAGAUUUCAUGAAAAGGUCCCCUGUGAGAAACUCAGGCACGGAGGGAUGGACACACACACACACACACACACACACACACACACACACACACAGAGGACCCUGUAAAGACUCUUCAGCAGGACUGACCAGUCGCAUUAGUCGCAGUGCAUGCAACACAUCCAUAGUAACCACACUCUGACAUGAAUGCUUUAAUGUCAAAAUCAUCAUGGACAUUUACUGAACACACACACGGCUUCUGCACCCUGUCAGGUGGGACAGUUCCUCUAAACGCAGAAUGCAUUCUGCCAAACGCAGCGCUGCGUUUCACCUAUAAACACCAUAAGACUGUAACGGCCUUGUUUCCAAAACUCUAAUAGAAACACUCUACGAAUUUUAAAACACGUACGUGCAAGUUUUAGAUAUGCCUCUAUAACGUAUGAGCUACUUCCAUAUAGUAUGUAAGAUGUUUUAAAAAGUGCAAUGCAAAAACUAUUGUUGUAUCUCUCUAAAGCUGUAGGUUUAUUUGUACAUUGGAUUAUGAUAUAUAGUGUGAUGACUUUUAGGGCUGUUUUCUCUUUCUCUCUCUUAGAAUAGACUUUACAUUCUGUUUGAUUUCUUAGUUUUCUUUUUAUCUUGUGUUUUGAUUUGUUGUUACUGUCGUAACACUCUGCCAAGUCUCAUUUUAUAUACUUUUAAAAGAGAUCAUUUAUUAUCACUACCAAAAUUGUUACGCUGACAUAUGAAUAUGACAGACAAGCUUUGAGGUUUUGUCAGUAUUUGAAUAGACUAAAUCGACAUCAUCAUCAUCUAAAUAUGCCAAUGUUAUUGAAAUAUAGCCAAUAUAAAAUGGUUUUUAUUUUUUCCUUUAAGCAGUGCCAUAAAUCAUGUGAGUAGAUAAGA